ACGAACGCUGGCGGCGCGUCUUAACCAUGCAAGUCGAGCGGCAGGCAGCAAUGCCGAGAGCGGCGGACUGGUGAGUAACACGUGGAUAACGUACCCCGAUGCCCGGGACAGCCUGUAGAAAUAGAGGGUGAUACCGGAUAGAUCACUGUAUACGGAAGGUAGACAGCGGGAAAGGAGCUUCGGCUCCGCGCCGGGAACGGUCUGCGGCCCAUCAGCUGGACGGCGGGGUAACGGCCCGCCGUGGCGAGGACGGGUAUCCGGCCUGAGAGGGCGGACGGACACAUUGGGACUGAGAUACGGCCCAGACUCCUACGGGAGGCAGCAGGUAAGAAUAUUCCGCAAUGGGGGGAACCCUGACGGAGCGACGCCGCGUGAACGAAGAAGGCCGGAAGGUUGUAAAGUUCUUUUCUGUCCGAGGAAUAGAGUGUAGGAGGAAAUGCCUACAUGGUGACGGUAGGGCAGGAAUAAGCACCGGCUAAUUACGUGCCAGCAGCCGCGGUAACACGUAAGGUGCGAGCGUUGUUCGGAAUUAUUGGGCGUAAAGGGCAUGCAGGCGGGUCGCCAAGCUUGGUAAGAAAUACCGGGGCUCAACUCCGGAGCUAUAUUGAGAACUGGCGAGCUAGAGUCGCCGAAGGGUAUCCGGAAUUCCGCGUGAAGGGGUGAAAUCUGUAGAUAUGCGGAAGAACACCGAUGGCGAAGGCAGGAUACCGGCGGACGACUGACGCUGAGGUGCGAAGGUGCGGGGAGCAAACAGGAUUAGAUACCCUGGUAGUCCGCACAGUCAACGAUGUACACUGGGCGUGUGCGCAAGAGCGUGCGUGCCGAAGCAAACGCGAUAAGUGUACCGCCUGGGGAGUAUGCCCGCAAGGGCGAAACUCAAAGGAAUUGACUGGGGCCCGCACAAGCCGUGGA
rnacentral:rRNA from 1 species